GAGAGGGCUGUAAGAUAAGGCUAUGAGGGUCUACUUAUAGGUGGUGGUUUAGUCAGAAGUGGUUCUAGUCAUAGGUGAAGGGAGUCUUGUGUGCUAGUCAAUCUAUCAGCCAGCUAUCCAGUCAGUCUAUCUUUCAGCUAACUAGCUAGUCAUUCAAUCUAUCAGACAACUGGCCAGCCAGUCAAUCUAUAUAAGCCAGCCAUCUAGUCAGUAUAUUAGGCAGCUAGUUGAUCUAUCAGCCAGCCAGUCAUUCUAUCAAUCUGCUUGUCAAUCUAUCAACCAGCUGUACUCAAAGCAAUCUAAACUGCCCAUUUAGGUCACAAGGAUUCCAUCACUAUUGCCACCUCUCCAUAGAUCACAGGCAUAUCUUCUAACAUGCUUCAUCUCCUUAAAACUGUCUCAAUUCAUGCACUCACUCACACAAAUCUACCUCCCAGUGCAUACAGGAUGACAUCUUUGAAGAUAUAGGUAAGCAUCUAGAGCAGCACCUUUACUCCCACAGCCGACAUCUGCAACACAGUUAAUCUCUUCACAUAUCUUAUGAUGGCUUACACAUUUCAGAUGGGGGGAAAAAAAAAAAAAAAAAAAAUAAUAAUAAUGAUAAUCUAGAUAAACUUUUGGAUGUCAAGCACUCUAAAGAGGCAUUAUUAAGCUCACUGGGCCAGUGAGAGGACGAAGCGAUGAUAAGAUAAUGGUGGUGGCGGCGAGAAGUUUGACAUGGCAAGACGACAAGAGCAAUAACAAACGGACCAGCGAGGACUCUUGUAGCUUUUUGUAGUGUAGUGCAUAGACUGGGAACAUUUGCAAUGGGAAGUAGUGGUGUAGUUGGAUGCCUGAAAAGCAGUAGUUCCCAAUCUAUGGUUCCAGGUGGUACAUGAGCAAUUUUGGAAUCAUAAAGAAUUUUUAGUAAUAUUAAAUUAAUCUAUUUCUCAAAAAGAUAUUGCCUUAUACAAGAUAAUCUGGCAUUGAUCAGUUGGUGGAGAAGAAGUGAAUGCAUCCUUUGUAUUAGAUUGAGUUGUGUUAUGGUAAGGUACUUGUGAAUAAAUUCACAUUUGCUGGAAUUAAGUUUUUCAGGAACCAAGUGGUAUGCGGGGACUGUACAGGACCUCCAAGUGGUACUCGCUCAGGGAAAGUUUGGGAAUCCAUGCUGCAGAUGAAGGGAAUAAUAUAGUAGGGGUAACAGCACUGUGGCAUGGCUGAACAAAUAGAGUGGUGGUGUGCCAUCCAAGGAACCACUCAACGAGACUACUUUGCUGCUGGGUAACUUCUUAGGCAGAGAGUCAUGCUGUUAAUGGGAUCAACUUGGAGUGUCCGGGCAUCAACACUUUCACUUUUAUGAAUGUGCCAUCUUCUUGUGACCCAAAUCUAUCAAUAAGUGGUCAGAAGCCAAAACCCACCAGUUGUCAUCCACUUCCCUGAUGAAGAUGCUUUGUCCCAUGCUUCCUCCUUGCUGUCACUCUAGGAGGCAUCUUCUGUGUUACAAAGUUCUUUACCUAAAGACUUGGUAACACAGAUUCAUGAGGAAGACUUGGUAACACAGAUUCAUAAGGCAGACCUCCUUGCAUUGAAGAACAGGCAGUGGGCAGAGAAAGCAUGGCAGUUGGCGGAAGAAACUUGGCAGCAGGCAAGGCGAGAACAGCAGCUCAUGCAGCAGGCAUGCCAAGAGGUUUAUGAGGCACAGUUUCUUGCCUUCAAUUUACUUGUGAAGACCUUAAGGUGGUAGCUUUAAAGCAUUAGUUUAUAAAUAAAUAUAUUUAU